UACGUAGGGGGCAAGCGUUGUCCGGAUUUAUUGGGCGCAAAGAGCGUGUAGGCGGCCAUGUAGGUCCGUUGUGAAAACUCGAGGCUCAACCUCGAGACGCCGAUGGAAACCAUGUGGCUAGAGUCCGGAAGAGGAGAGUGGAAUUCCUGGUGUAGCGGUGAAAUGCGCAGAUAUCAGGAAGAGCACCCGUGGCUAAGGCGGCUCUCUAGUACGGUACUGACGCUGAGACGCGAAAGCGUGGGGAGCAAACAGG
rnacentral:rRNA from 1 species